ensembl:misc_RNA
CAUCUUAAUACUUUUUCAGUGGAUAAUGAAGCAGUUUAUUUAAUAUUAUUUGGAUAACAAGGCUCCACAUGAACAGGAUUCGAAUGUCAGUUGUCUUAGGGGAAAAAAGAUUUAUUGGUUGGUAAAUAUUGAGAAAGAAAAGCUGAUAAAGAACAGCUUCAGCUGCAGCUUCUGCCUGGAGCAGGAGAACAGGCCUGUGUUGUAUUUUGGGGCCCUGGGAAGGCAAAAAAUUGUGAAUGUCUUUCUUUGUUGGUGGGUGUAAAAGUGGAGACCGCUACAAAUAAUUUCUUAUUUCUGUUCGCAUAGAUUUAAAAUUAUGUAGUUUCCCUACCUUGUUAAGUAUUAAAGCGUUCUUGUUUAGGGAAAAGGCACUUAAAUAAUGAAGCUUAUGUAUCUUGUUUUCAGACAUCAAUAUCUGGCUUUGAGUGGCACAAAGGGAUCAAGGAAUGUGGAUUCAG